GAUGAACGCUGGCGGCGUGCCUAAUACAUGCAAGUCGAGCGAACAGACGAGGAGCUUGCUCCUCUGACGUUAGCGGCGGACGGGUGAGUAACACGUGGAUAACCUACCUAUAAGACUGGGAUAACUUCGGGAAACCGGAGCUAAUACCGGAUAAUAUAUUGAACCGCAUGGUUCAAUAGUGAAAGACGGUUUUGCUGUCACUUAUAGAUGGAUCCGCGCCGCAUUAGCUAGUUGGUAAGGUAACGGCUUACCAAGGCAGCGAUGCGUAGCCGACCUGAGAGGGUGAUAGGCCACACUGGAACUGAGACACGGUCCAGACUCCUACGGGAGGCAGCAGUAGGGAAUCUUCCGCAAUGGGCGAAAGCCUGACGGAGCAACGCCGCGUGAGUGAUGAAGGUCUUCGGAUCGUAAAACUCUGUUAUUAGGGAAGAACAAAUGUGUAAGUAACUAUGCACGUCUUGACGGUACCUAAUCAGAAAGCCACGGCUAACUACGUG
rnacentral:rRNA from 1 species